GGUGCAACGUCGGUGACGGUGCUAGGGAAAUAUUUAAUGAUGCUUAAAAGCAUCUCAAUAUGUUCGCAUCACAUUUGAAAGCGUCGGCAAAUCAAGAGUCACCUCGUAUAUACCAACACUUAUACCAAGCGUCAGUAAAAUAUAUUAUAACGCUUUAAAAUGUCAAAACUUUUUGAAAUCCUGAUGCUUUAAAGUAUCGGAAAAUUAAAAAUAGGAACAAUUGACUAUAUACCCCUCAAAACUUCGAAAAUAUUUUAUUUACCUCUAUUUUUUUUUUUCUUUCCAAUAUAUCCCUCAUAUGUUCCUCCGUUAUUCCAAAAUCCCCUACAGUUACCACCCGUUAAAUUAACUUAGGUUAAACAUGAGUAAAAUAUCUACUAGAGUUUAAAAAAGAUCAAAAUAUCUUUUGCCCUUAACUUAAGGGCAAAUAAAAAAUAUUGGUGACGGUAGAGAGGUAUAUUUGAAAAGAUCAAAAGUCAAAAUACUUUUUGUUCCCCUGACUUAGGAACAAAUAUGAAAAAUCGGUGAUGGUGGAAGGGUAUAUUUGAAAGGGCAAAAUAGUAAUUUUAUACAGAUAAUAGGUAUUGCUAACUGUUUUUUAACAAAAUUUAACUCUAAAGGUAUAUUUGAAAUAGGUUGGAUAAAAAAAAAGUUAUUUUUAAUAAUAAUCUUCUAAGAAGGAUAUAUAAAUCAGAAAGUCGAAAACUUUUCAGGAAUAUAUAAGCAAUUGCCCCUUAAAAAUAAUAGUAAAGCUUAUUAUUUAAUAAAUUGGUUUCAUAUAAUAGAAAGUUGAUAUGACAACGCUUUUUGAAGCGUCGAUAUUUGCUAUAUUGUAGGGACGCUUGGGCACGCUUUCUCUAAGCGCGGUCUAAAAAGUGUUUUUAUAUUAAGAUUUUCUUGUAGUG
rnacentral:lncRNA from 1 species